GGCGCAGGCGCAGGCGCAGCCGAGGCGCCGGGGUAGGGGGUUACGCCUGGCGAGCGCAUGGGCAGACAAACUGUACGUCCGUUUGUCCGGACGGGAGGGGAGAGUGGGCGCCAUCUUGUUCGGGCUCACUGAGGGUUCUGCCUGUUCAGUGGAGGCUGCUGCGAAGAGUGCCCCAGCCCCUGGCCUGUGUGUCCGAGUCGGAGCAGUGGUGUGUGUUUACUGCCAAGUGCGAAGCAGUCACCCGUGGGGCGUCGGGGUGGGCAGGGUUGGCGACUGAGCCGGAGGAACAGGGAAAGGCGGGGCCGGCGGCCGCGCCAGGAUCUAGCGUAGCCUGUGCCGUUAGGGCACCCUCUUCUAGCUAAACUCCGACUCUCCCUCUCCCGUCAGCCUCCAUGUGGCGGUGUGUGUGCGCUUCCCAGUGAUCUUGACACUGAAGAUCGCGAAGGAUCUCAUAGGUGUGGAUCUCAAGAUCUGAAAUGAUUGCAUAGAAGUGAUUUUUGAAGGGGAAAACAUUUGAAGGGGCCCAACAUUACUUAUGUGAAGAACAAAUAAGGUAAGAUAGUUUGAAUGUAAUCAGAGUGCCUAACUGUAAAAAGUUGACUGAUGCUGAAAUAUCAUCUCAGUGGUUCUCAGAGAACAUGGACUACAUGGAAGAACAGUGAAUUAUUUCUCUGUCCCUCCCUGUGUAUUUUCUGUAUUUCCAAGAAUCCUUGUAUUUAUAGGAUCCUUAUCCUCUUGGGACCUUCUUACUGCUUUUGGUUUAUUGAAGAUGUGCUUUCCCCUGUACUGUGAACUAUUUAAAAUACACUGCUCUAUAUUCACAGCAGCUUGCCCCAGGACUUUUUUGUCAGUCAUCCUCCUUAUCUCUCAAGUCUUUGAUUCUGGAGACUAUUUGGAAUGCUAUUAUCAUAUACAGCAUUUUUUUUAAUGGAAUUUUAAAACUUAAACAGCUACACAGUAUUUUUUUGUUUUGUUUUAAUGUUUGAACUUCCUGGUAUAUUUUAAAUUCCUGCUUUGAUCAGUUAGACCAUUUUUCACAAUAUUAAAUCCUCAGCACUUAGAAUGAUGCCUGUUAUAGGUGCUCAAUAAACACAGGUGCUCAAUAAACUGGGAGAGGGAUCCUGGAAGCUUAGCCCUGGUUUCCUCCAGGUUUUGCCUCUUUCACCUUCUCCCCAUAUUGAUUUUACUUUAUUUAUGUGCUUUUUGCUGUAAUAAAUCAUAUCUGUGAGUACCACUAAAAACACAUCUACCACACACCCUGGGACCUUUAGUUUUCAUGGAUCUGUCUCCCAUAGACUGAUUAAGAGGUGAUUAAGAGUAGUGGUAAGAGGAAUUACAAAGGAAGCCCCUGAAUGAGAGGGAAAAAGUCUUAGGGAACAAAGGACUUGAAGGAACUUUAGAAUCAGUUCACAAGUGGAAUAUGAAAGGUAUUAGAAAAAGACUGAAAGUGUAGGGGAUCAUUUUUAACCUGCCCCUUAGUACAGUGUUGUUUCUUGCAGGAAAUGAUUCGUGUGAUUCACCCAAAAUCAUACUUCUGGUAGUAUGGUGUAGAGGAUUAAAACAACUUUGUAAUCAGACCUCUGAAUUUGACCCCCAGCUCUGCUACUUAACAAGCUAUGGGAUCUCUGGGAAGUUCAACUUCAUUGUGAUUUGGUUUUCUGAUCCAUAGAAAUGAAGAUAGGAAGAUUAAAAUAACUAGCAUAGCCAAAAUGUAUAAAUCAGCCCAAAGUAAUCACUAUAGAAACAUUUGCUAUUUUAUAAAUGACAGAUAAAAACUUAAUAAUUUUCUUUUUGAAAACAAUAUGAAAAGGAGUGAAAAAAACAUUUAGUAUUUAAAGCAGGUUACACUUAUGAGGUCAUCUGUUAACAAAUGAUAUAUAUAACUAUGAUCACAUGCAUAACUGACAUAAAAUCAGAAACAAACAUAAUAAACAUGAACCUUUCUUCAUUUUAGUUAUGCUGCGCCCUGAUUUUAUUAGUUUCCUGGAAACAGUUGAGUAAUCAGACAAGAAGGCUUAGAGGAUAUUUUUAUGGAUAGUUAAGAAUAUUUUUAAAAGAUGGGGAGGGAGGGUAGUCUGCAGAAUCUGUAAAUGGGAGACACUCCCAAAUCAGCCAUUUAUUAAUACAGAAUUCUGGUUAACUUGAAUAUUUUCUCUCAUUUAGCAAAAACACUUUCAAGCCAUUUUUUUUCUCCUUUGGAAAGAUAAGGUAGGGCAUUUGCUCUUUGGGUGUGCUUACUGAAGUCCAGGCUUUGACACUUACUGAUUGGCCAAUGUUAAUUGUUAAUUGGACAGUCAGAAUUAUUUGCAUUUAGGUAAAACUCCUGUCAGCAAGCCUGCAUAAAACCUAAAUUUAUUUCAUGGCUUAGUAAUUUACACAAAGCCAAUUGGAAUUCAGAUCCUGGUAUUUAUUAGCAAAGUGGUCACAGAUAAUGAACUUAAAGCCUCUAAGCCUGCUUCUGUAGUUGUAAAAUGCGACUAAACAGCAACUAUCUCAUAGGUUUGUGAGAGGAUUGAAUAAGAAAAUAAAUGAAAAGCUUUGGGUAUCAUGUAUGGCAUAAACAUUCAAAAUGUUGCUCAAAUCAAUGUUAAGUACACUUUAGUAUUUAUAUCACCAGAGAAAAUGCACAAUUUUUAUUUCAUGUAAUAGUUUGAUGUAGAUUAUGUUUUACUAUAAAUUGUCUUGGAACUUUACUAUGGUUAAUUUGAAAAGUUAAAAAAUAAAUAAAUGGAAAAAUGAGAAAAGUCAUGUGUUUGGGACUGCACAUAAUAAUCACCAUUGUAGUGUUCUAAUUUUUAAGAUAUUUUUACUUAUACAAACUAAUAUUCUCUUUGAAACAUUUUCAUAUUAACAGAACCAUAUUAGACAUAGUCCUACCUCUAGAUCUUCAUCCUCAUCAAUCUUUUGUAUAUUCUGGUAGGCAGCAGUAUAGACCUCUAAAGCUUUGCCAUGAAAUAACAUUUCAAUUGUGAUAAAUUCUGAAAAUAUAUUCUAGAAAAACAAAGAUUUGUAUUUAGUCAUUUAAAUUGUUUUAUGAAUGUAGUUAAAAGUACUUAUUCCGCACUACAGUCUUUACAUUUUAUGAAAGACAAAGGUAUCCUGUUUUUCUACAAGACAAAGUACAAAAGAUACACCAAAAUAGAAAUAUUUAUAAACACUUUUUAUGGCAGAACCUUAAAAUUAUACAAAAUGUUUACUGGUCAUACUCUUUAUCAGUUAUCUUUAUACCUGGUAAUUGACAGCUAUGAAAAUAAAAAUCUGACUAAAAUGUAUGCCAGCAAAUUCUCUGGUACAUGCCUUUAAGUAUUCCAGUUAAGUUUUGAAGCUGGUAUUUUAGUAACUCCAACUGAUGUUAACAAAACAAAACAAAAACUGUAUUCUGGGAUAAGAGAUUGUUAAUUAUGACCAACAAUGACUCUUAUUUCACUUAUUAUAUAGGUCACAGAGGGCUUUGGUACACUGACCUAGCAACUGACUUUUAUAAACGGCAUGAUGCUAAGUUACAGUUUUGGAUUUGAUGCUUAGACUCGCCAGAUACCAAAGGAUGCCUUAGAGGUGGAAUAGCUUCUGACCAGGACUGAGACUUUCUUAAUUGCUUAUCUCCCUAAGAUAAUUGCUAACCAGUUAGGAAUCAAAUGCCUUUAAGAGUGUGGAAACUCCUACAGGGAAAACCGGAGAGUGAAAGUGACAAGCCAUAUCACCUGUUUAAGAAGUAAAUCGGCUAAAUUAGAAAGUAAAGUAUUAUUUACCAACUAAUAUUAGAGCUUCCAGCAAGAUGUUUAGUGGAGUAAGAUAUUUCACUACAUAUUUUUGUUUAAUAAAAUUGAUUUUUGAAUACUAUAAAUGUAUGAUCUGCAGGAAAAAAAAAUAAAAUAAAAACUAGCAUUUUCUUUUAAAAAAAGAUAUUAACAGGCAAGCAAGGGGAAAUGAAAACUUAGAGUAGAUGCUCUUCAAGAAAGGAUGACAACAGAUCUUUCUAUCAAAAGGAAAAAGUUAUAUAUCUACCUCAUAAUUACAAGAAAAAUAUUUAACAAUAUUCUAAAAACGCAAAAGUAGAAAACAUAAGCAAAUAUUUAUGUAAUGUUGGGGACAGCAACAGUUCUAGUAUGACACCAAGGCAGAAACCAAAACCACCAAUAGACUUAGCAACAAAAACAAAGGUUUAAGGUGGCAGAAAUGCCAUAAGCAGUAAAAGUGAAAUAUAUUUGCAACACAUCUCUUUAGAGUUAAUUUUCUCAAUGUAAAGAGUUAUUUCAAAAAAGGGCAGCAUCCCCUAAAGAAAUAAAGUUUAUCAUUAGACACAUGAAAAAGUACUUAAUGCUUUAACAGUACUAAUGAAAUUAUAAUACUGAUUUUUUUUAUUUACCCAUCAGCUGCAUGUAUGCUUAUGCAAAGUCUGAUAGGAAAAGAAACUGUUCAAUCUUUGCAGACAUAAGGUUUAAAAAUUGUUAUUACAAUUAGUGUGUGUGUGUUCUUUGAACCAGGAACUCCACUUCUGGCAACUUAUCCCAAGAGAAUAACUGGACCAGAACAAAGGUUGAAAAAAGCCAUCUGCAAUUGCAAAAUAACCUAGAUGUUCAUUAAGCCUGGUUAAAUUAAUAUCCAUAUUACAAAAUACUGAGUAAAUCAAAAAGGGAUGACACAGAUCUCUACUUUUUACCAUGAAUGUGUCCACAAUAAAUUUUAUAUUUAUUAUAAUAGUGCCUUCCUCAUAAGUAUGUUGUGAGGAAUAAAUGAGUUUAUUUACAUAAAAUGGUACCUGCUAUAUAGUCAGUGCCCAAGAGAUGUGUGUUAUUAAAUCUUAUUUACUAUAUCUCUGGUAUAUGUGCAUAGGAUCAAGUGUGGAAAGAUCUAAACCAAAAUGCUAGCAUUAUUUUUUGAAUGCUGAGAUUCUUGUUUGUCUCUAUAAUUUUAUGGAAAAAUCAUGAUAUUAUGUUUAUAAUAAAAGGAAGCUAUUAAAAUUUGUUUCUUGCUCACAUCAACUACUUCACCAUAUACGGAAAACUACAAAUAUAGUUUAAAGACGUAAAGGAAAAUCUAACAGUCUAACUAUUCCAUAUUCAUGGUUUAGAAGAAUCAGUCUUAAGAUGUUAUUCCCAAAAUGAUGUAUAGAUUUGAUGCAAUAUUUAUUAAAAUUUCAGCUGACUUUUUGGGAAAAUUGACCGACUGAUUCUACAAUUAAUAUAGCUCCAGAAUAGAUAAAUCAAUCUAAAAAGAAAAUAGGAAGACUCACACAACCUGAUCUUAGAACUUACCACAAAGCAAUGUUAAGACAGUGUGGUACUGCAUAGGAUAAUUUCAGAUCAAUGAGAGAAAGAGUCCAGAAGUAAAAACAUGUAAUUUUCAACAAGGAUAUGACCAUUCAAUGGCGAAAGAGUGAUCUCUUCAACAAAUGAUAGUGUGACAAUUGGAUAAUCUAAUGCAAAAGAAUGAAAUUCAAUCUUUAGUGCACACCAUGUACAAGAAUUAAAUGGAUAAAAGACUCAAAUACUCUUGUAUUAAGAACUAAAACUAUUAGAAGAAAACAAGGAUCACAGAUUUAGUAACGAAGUCUUAGCAACAAAUCAAAGUAAGCUGGACUUCAUCACAAGUUAAAAAUUUGUGCUUCACACGACACCAUUAAGAUAGUGAAUAAGCUACUGAAUGGGAGAAAACUUCAAAUUUUUAUAAGGAACUUUUAUCCAGAAUACACUAAAAAGCCCUUACAACUCAAAAAUGUAACCCAAUUAUAAAAAAAUUAAAAUAUGGGCAAAAUAUCGAAAUAGCCAUUUAUUUUUUUUACACCCAGUAGUAGUAUAGCUGCGAUCAAGAAGCCUGAUGAAUAGGAAGUACUGAAAUUAGAAACCACAUAUGCUGCUAGUGGGGAUGUACAAUGGUGCAGGUGCUUUGGAAAAGUCUGGCUACUCAGUUACCAUAUGAUUCGAUAGUUCCACCCCUAGGUAUGUAUGCAAGAAAAAAUGUCCACAAAAACCUGGGCAUGAAUUUUUAUUUACAUCAGCAUUACAUCUUAAUAGCCAAAGGGUAGAAACAAUCCAAACAUUUACUAACUGAUGAAUGGAUAAACAAAACAAUAUCCAUAUAAUAAAUGGAAUGUAAUUUGGCCAUAAAAGAAGUACUGAUGCAUGCUACAACAUGGAUAAGCCUUGGAAGCAUGAUAAGUGAAACAGUCACAAAAUACUAUGCAUGAUUCCAAUCCAUAGACACAUAAGAUAUGGACUACUUAGGUGUGGGAGGUAGGCAGGGAUUUAGAAGCUGACAGUCCAAGGUUGAGGUGAUGAAAAUAUUCUCAAAUUGGUGAUGGCCCCAAACACAAAAUCAGUAAAUUUAUACUUGGAAUUUGGAACUGGGAUUGAAUGCAAGGCGCUGUGCCACUGAGCUGAGUCCCCAGGUCACACUCGCUUAUUCGCUCGCGCUUUUUUUUUUUUUUGAGACAACUAAGUUUUGAGGCUGAUCUCAAACUUUUGAUCCUGUCUGAGACACUGGGAAUACUGGCAUGUGCCACUGUGUCUGGCUUAUCUCAACUUUUUAAAGGUGAAGGUUUCUUCCUGUACCCCAUCCCAGAACCAUCAGAGGACUUUCUGUUUUUAGGGGCAUGAUACUGCAGGCAAGGAGAAGGUGUUGGAAGCUCUUUGUACAGCCCCUCCAUUUCCCAUUUCAGGAAAUCCCAGUAGCAGGCAUUUUCUCUGGAAAUUCUGCACUCAUCCUCUGUGCCUCAAUAGUUAACUUGGUGAUGCUCAAAAAUCAGAGAUGAAUUUCCAUGUGUAAAAAUGUUUUGCAGGCACAAGGAAGAGUCAGUGGUGGAGGGAGAAACUCAAUUCGCAUUACUAACUAAGGAAGCCCUUAGGCAGCAGUGGAAUCAGGCAUGCCUCCAAAGUGUCCAUUCUCAUUUUUCAUGUUAAAGAUAUCUAAAAAAGCCUUGUUCCUCUAGUUCUCGUGAGAGGAUAUUAAUUGUAGAACUUCAUGCCUCCCCCCGCCCCUUUAUUCUCUCAGCUUGGUAAAAGCAUUUUUCUCAGGGCAGCCUCCUUAGAUUCUUACACAGCAGAGUGCAAAGCCUGUGACUGAAUUGAGAAAGUAAAGUUCUGAAAUCCUUUUGAAAUUAUGAUAGGAAAUUAAAGAUGCAAAUGAGUAUUGUUUCACAGAUUUCAGAGAGGUAUUAUAUAAUUAACUGGCAAAUAAUGUUUAUUUUAUUGAUAAGAUUAUAUCUUAUAAAAGCAGGAAAGCUUCUUUCUAGUAAUAAGUGGGAAGAAAAAUUUUAAAACUUGCUACUGGAAAAUUUUCAGUGAGCCAAAAAGACAUCCUUAGGUGAAUUUUUUAAAGUAUAUAAAGUAGUUAUAAUCAGUCCUUCUUUCCAAGAUACAUAAACAAAAAGCCACCAAAGACCUGUUGAAUUUUAUGAUCCUGUAAAAAGGUUUCUGUCUAAUGAUGUGUUACAAGAAAUAAGGCAAUGAUUGUGAUUUUGUUGACUGACUAAAACACCUUAUUGUGGUGGUGGAUGAAAAUUUAUAUGGUUGGCUAUUACCCUAUUAUUUGAUAAUAGCUAUUAGAAAGUCUUGUGUAAUAGAUAUUAAUGAUAGUGUUUUACAAUGGAAACCACAGAUUUUUAAAAUUAUACCUCUGCUUAAUUUUUUUUUUUUUUAAAUUUCUGUAUUGUGGAUUGAACCCUGGGGCUACAUUCCCAGCCCUUUUUAAAUUUUUUUAUUUUGAGAUAGGGUCUCACUAAGUGUUAAAUUUGCUAAGGCUGGCCUCAAAGUCGGGAUCCUCCUGCCUCAGCCUCCUGAGAUACUGCGAUUAUAAGCUCUCUGCUUAAUUUCUUAAUAACACCACCCAUUCUUGUGGGGCUAUUGUGAAGAUUGAAAGAUAAUUUACAUAUCAAAUGCCAUUUGAUACAUAAAAACAUACUGUUAGUUUUCCUUGAAAAAACAGUCUUUGGGAUAAAAAGUUGAAUGUCUAAUCUCUGGUUGAAAUGCAGCUCCUUUGCCUACCAUUAUUUUCACAUUAUAUGUUUUGAUCUAUAACAUCUUUUUUCAUAGAGAGUAUGGUCUAAAAAAUCAGUAAUUUUUCAUAAGUUUGAAAAAAUAAGGUUAGAAAACUUUUUUUGAAACUUAAUUCUUAAUUACCUUUAUAUCCUUAAUUUUCUGUUUUUCAAAAUUGUCAAUAGUUUCCUCCAGAUGACGAGUUGUUCGGGUAGCAUCCAUUGUUGCUCUCUGUAAUUCAGAUUCUGCCUGUAAAAGUAUUCCCCAACCAAAGAUAUAAAAAAUCAAAUCAAUAUCCAUUUUGUUGAGUCUAUUCGUGUUACUAAUGUAGUAUUGGCUUUUGACAAUAGUAUAAAUUGUUAAAUAUUAUAUUUUACCACAUACAAUGAUUUAUAUAAUAAGACAUGUAGAAUAAAGAAUUUUGAAUCUA